rnacentral:sRNA from 1 species
AGCAGCCGCGGUAAUUCCAGCUCCAAUAGCGUAUAUUAAAGUUGCUGCAGUUAAAAAGCUCGUAGUUGAAUUUCGGGACUAAUAUGUCGGUCGUGCCUCGGUACGUACUGGUUUAUUGGUUUCUCCUUUCUGAAGAACCAUGAUGUCAUUUAUUUGGUGUCGUGGGGAAUCAGGACUGUUACUUUGAAAAAAUUAGAGUGUUUAAAGCAGGCUCACGCUUGAAUACAUUAGCAUGGAAUAAUGAAAUAGGACGUUUGAUUCUAUUUUGUUGGUUUCUAGGAUCGACGUAAUGAUUAAUAGGGAUAGUUGGGGGCAUUAGUAUUCAAUUGUCAGAGGUGAAAUUCUUGGAUUUAUUGAAGACUAACUACUGCGAAAGCAUUUGCCAAGGAUGUUUUCAUUAAUCAAGAACGAAAGUUAGGGGAUCGAAGACGAUCAGAUACCGUCGUAGUCUUAACCAUAAACUAUGCCGACUAGGGAUCGGAUGAUGUUAAUUUUUAAUGACUCAUUCGGCGCCUUACGG